GACGAACGCUGGCGGCGUGCUUAACACAUGCAAGUCGAACGGUGAAGCGCCUUCCUUUUUGGUGGGUGUGGAUGAGUGGCGAACGGGUGAGUAACACGUGAGUAACCUGCCCCCUUCUUCUGGAUAACCGCAUGAAAGUGUGGCUAAUGCGGGAUAUUCUGGGUCUGUCGCAUGAUGGGUCUGGGAAAGAUAUUGUUUCGGUGGGGGAUGGGCUCGCGGCCUAUCAGCUUGUUGGUGGGGUGAUGGCCUACCAAGGCGGUGACGGGUAGCCGGCCUGAGAGGGUGGACGGUCACACUGGGACUGAGACACGGCCCAGACUCCUACGGGAGGCAGCAGUGGGGAAUAUUGCACAAUGGGCGCAAGCCUGAUGCAGCGACGCCGCGGGAGGGAUGGAGGCCUUCGGGUUGUGAACCUCUUUCGCCAGUGAAGCAGGCCUGCCUCGUUUGUGGGUGGGUUGACGGUAGCUGGAUAAGAAGCGCCGGCUAACUACGUG
rnacentral:rRNA from 1 species